rnacentral:lncRNA from 1 species
AAACCUGCAGCUCAUCUCUGGCUACCACCAGCAGGAUGCUUCCUGGGUACCCGGUUCUGCAGCAUAGAAGAACGCGAGAAAGGAGAUGGAUGAAGGGCUGGAUGGGGAAUCCGACAAGGCAAGCUCUGCCCAAAGAGGCCCAGUGACCAUCACUUGCCCAGG